UACGUAGGGGGCUAGCGUUGCUCGGAAUCACUGGGCGUAAAGCGCACGUAGGCGGAUUGCUAAGUCAGGGGUGAAAUCCUGGAGCUCAACUCCAGAACUGCCCUUGAUACUGGCGGUCUCGAGUCCGGGAGAGGUGAGUGGAACUGCGAGUGUAGAGGUGAAAUUCGUAGAUAUUCGCAAGAACACCAGUGGCGAAGGCGGCUCACUGGCCCGGUACUGACGCUGAGGUGCGAAAGCGUGGGGAGCAAACAGG
rnacentral:rRNA from 1 species